GCUUCCGUAGCUCAGUUGGUAGAGCAGCGCAUUCGUAAUGCGCAGGUCGUCGGUUCGAGUCCGACCGGGAGCUCCA
rnacentral:tRNA from 1 species